GCCAGACUCCUACGGGAGGCAGCAGUGGGGGAUAUUGCACAAUGGGGGGAACCCUGAUGCAGCGACGCCGCGUGGGUGAAGAAGCGCCUCGGCGCGUAAAGCCCUCUCGGCAGGGAAGAAGGAGGACGGUACCUGACUAAGAAGCCCCGGCUAACUACGUGCCAGCAGCCGCGGUAAUACGUAGGGGGCAAGCGUUAUCCGGAUUUACUGGGUGUAAAGGGGGCGCAGACGGCAGCGCAAGCCAGGAGUGAAAGCCCGGGGCCCAACCCCGGGACUGCCCUUGGAACUGCUUGGCUGGAGUGCGGGAGGGGCAGGCGGAAUUCCUGGUGUAGCGGUGAAAUGCGUAGAUAUCAGGAGGAACACCGGCGGCGAAGGCGGCCUGCUGGACCGCGACUGACGUUGAGGCUCGAAAGCGUGGGGAGCGAACAGGAUUAGAUACCCUCGUAAG
rnacentral:rRNA from 1 species